rnacentral:lncRNA from 1 species
GACUUUUUCAUUGUGGUCUUUUGUCACAGUGAUGAAAACCUAACUAACACAGCUGCUGAGGUCCUGGCAUGCCCAGGGCUAGAAUUCUGGAUUACUUGUACCCUGUAACAACCUCCAAGGAGCCUCUGAGUAGGAAUUGCUUGUCUCUCUUCUGAGACUCACAUGAUUUGAGGGCUCCACUUGGACUUUGGGCUGAAGACAGACUACACUAUGCUCUUAAAGCAGUGGGCUCUCCUUAACUAAAGUGCAGUUCACAUUACCUCUCUUGCAGCACUGAUAGGCUUCUCCAGGGCAGUGUGUAUAAAGCACAGCACUCGCCAGCAAUGGGGAGAUGGUAGCCAUGCUCACUGUCCUCUCCAGCCCUACGACAGAGGACUCUGGCCUGGAGAGCGAGGGAAGGAGAGGAAAACAUAAGAGGGAAAAUGAAGGAGCCGUGAAUCACCACAAGCCAUAUUUAAAAGGCAUGGAAGAGAAAGAUGCAAACCUGAUUCUGGAAGGAGUGAGGCCGCCUGCCAUGUCCGGGGCAUCCUACUAGGGAUGCAAACAGCAACAAGCAACAAGCCCAGGCUGUGAGCGGUUUGCCUGAGCUAGAAGCAGGAUUUGAACUGAGUUCCCUCUGAAUCCAUUAAAGAGACACUUGAAGCACAUGUGGAAGUGUUAGGAGAAUGUGGUCCAGCCGUGCACAGAAAUCUGGGGCAGAAGAAGAAAAUGAAAGCUGAGGGUCCCAGGGCCCAGGCAGGGCAGCAUAGUCUAGGUGGGCUUCUCAGAGGAGGUGAGAGAGAAGGCAAGUGAGGGUGGAGCUGCUUGGAUGCUUUGGUUCUGACUAGAAACUCUGUUCAGUUUUUUUCUUUUUAAGUACGUGCAUUGGAUUUCUAUAAAUAAAUGAUAAACUGUUUCCAAAUCAGAUCUUAUUUCCAUGUGUUAACAACUAAUUACUGGCUCACUCGGCAGCAGCCCCUCUCUAGU